CUGAGGUAGCGGAGCUCACUCGCGCUCCGCUCCGGUGACAGAGGAGCAGCUGGGGAGCAUGGCAUGAUGUCUCCCGGCAGUUCCCGACUGUGAAGCUCCGGGUCAGAAGUAGAACGGCGAGGCGGCCGCAAGAAGUAUAAAGAUGUGGAGUAUGCGUGAUGACGUCUAAGUGGCCUGAUGAAGCGCCUAGGGGUGUGAUACAGUCAGUGGCCCGACUUCUGAACUCCCCCGGAUCCAUCAGCCGCCUCCCUGCUUGGGACUGACUCGGUCUAAGGAUCAGCUACCUAUGCUGACUACAAGAACGUAACCAGGACAAAUGCAGAAAUCGGGUAGAAACAUGAAAGAGAAGUGGAGAAAUGUUAAGUUAUGUAUACUAUUUACAAACACUCAUGAUAUCAUUUGACCAUCUACCAAUACUGUGAC